CGUAGGUGGCAAGCGUUGUCCGGAAUUAUUGGGCGUAAAGCGCGCGCAGGCGGGAAUGUAAGUCUGUCUUAAAAGUGCGGUGCUCAACGCCGUGAUGGGACAGAAACUAUAUUUCUUGAGUGCAGGAGAGGACAGUGGAAUUCCCAGUGUAGCGGUGAAAUGCGUAGAUAUUGGGAGGAACACCAGUGGCGAAGGCGACUGUCUGGACUGUGUCUGACGCUGAGGCGCGAAAGCCAGGGUAGUGAACGGGAUUAGAUACCCCGGUAAUCCUGGCCGUAAACGAUGGGUACUAGGUGUUGGGGGUAUCGACCCCUCCAGUGCCGGAGUUAACGCAAUAAGUACCCCGCCUGGGGAGUACGGCCGCAAGGUUG
rnacentral:rRNA from 1 species